UAUUCUCACAGGGGCCAGGUGAGAGAGAUGACAGUAGGUGAGGAGAAUUUAUAUACCCUUCCCAAGAGAAACAUGGUAGGCAGAAACUAAGAUAACCUUUAGGAUUCCUGCCCCCUUGUGUAUAGUUGUGUAUAAUCCCCCCGCCACUUGUGUAAUUGCCUCCAUUGGAUAAGACCUCUGAAUAUGAUCGAAUAUCACUCCUAUGAUUAGGCUACUAAUCCUUUGAAUUGAUCAAAGGGCAGGUUUUCUGGGUGGGCCUGACCUAAUUAUAUAAGUCUUAAAAGAAGGCAGAGUAUCAUAGAGAUGCUCUCCUGCUGGCCUGGAAGAUGCAGCCUUUGGAAGUCUUGAGAUGCAAGGAAAUAAAUCUUGCCAACAAAUAUGUGAGACUGGAAAAGGUCACUUAGUCACAUUUGAGGUCACCAGUCUGGUCAACACUUUUAUUUCAGCCUCGUUAGAUCCUGAGCAGAGGACCCAGUUGUGCCCAUGCCUGGACUUGUGGCCUAUAGAAACUGUGUUAUAAUAAGUUUAUUUGGUUUUAAGCCACUAGGUUUGUAGUAAUUUGUUUACAGCAAUAGAAAACCCUCGGGGGGCAGGGGCGGGCAAGGAAACCUCAGCAGAACUGUGCUGUAAAUACAUCAUCAGAUGCCCAGAGCUGAGGAAGAUAACAGGCAGCCAGGCAGACUGUACUCCACUCAUGACAGAACACAGCAGGCUAGAGAUCCUCAGUGACGGGUUGUUGAGGGGAGUUCCAAAAACUCAAAAGCAUGCCACAGGAGAAUCAGCUUCAGCCUUUUGCCUGGCCCACAGUGCUCCAGUGCCAGAUCACAAGAAUUCCAGGGCUGCAGGACCUCUCCUGUCUCUUACCUUUCCUUUCACACCCAUCCCCCAAAUUCAAGCUGCCAAUGUGGGAACAAGGGUCAGAAACAUGGCAGGCAAGCUGGGGGAGGAAGGAUAGAAAUUUAUAACACUAAGAAUGUAGGUGCCCCUACAUUCAGACACCCUCUACUCUGUCCCCUUUCCCACUUUCAUCCUUCUACCUGCACAGGCCUAAAGCUGUACUUUUGAGUGCGUUCCUACUUUUCAUCAUUACACUAAAGUGGACCUAAUAAAAGGAAUUGAGUCUAGCUUUUUCUUUCCCAUAAAAGUGACUGGAGAACAUUUUAUUAUCUGAAAAUAAGAAGAUAACGUCUAAGUUUAGCCAGGAUUUUAUCCCAGGGUAGGGAAAGAGCCAGCUGGGUUUACAGAAGUAUUGUUAAGAAAAUAUAAAGUUGCUUUUAGAAUAGCACCAUACUAGUCUGUUCUUUGAACAUCAGAGUUACUGGGAUUUUAAUGAUGAUCCAACACACCAAGAAAAAUCUUUCUGCCUUGUUCAAAGAUAGGAACUACCAGGUUGGGACAAUGAAGUAAGGAACGUAUGUCCAUGUUAGCUGAGGAAAGCCUUGAAAUUGACCUAGUGUAAUGACUGAUAAUACUGUCCAGGCCCGGUCUAAAAGUUCUGCAUCAAGUUGUACCGAAUUCUGCUCCCAUGGGGAUCUCAGACUCUUGGUUCCAUAUUAGGGGGUAAAAGGAAGGAGACUGGGGUGCUCAGUACAACUCUCAGACUCAAGUCUAACACGUUGGUAACUCUGCCGCCCACUGAAGUGGGAAUGAUUUCUUGCACACUGAGAAUUGAAAAUUCUUCCGUAGUAACUCAUUAUUUAUUCAGUGUAGAUACAUUUGAGAACUGUCCUAGGCAAGAACUAUAAUUUACCUAAAAAGUCAUGGUCUUCACUCCUGAAAAGACUGCCGUCUAAUAGAGUGAUUUGAAUAUACAUCCUCCCCUGAAAUAAAGGUGAGCAUGAAUGGUAAGUUUAUGCAAAUACACACUCACAAACUCUCCCCCUUUUUAAAAGGUGUCCAUAUUUUGGUAAAGCAUGAGAAGGUGGCAUUUUUAUUUCUCCCCCUCCUGAAGAAAUAGGAGGAAAAACAUGUUGGGUCAUAGACAGAUGGGGGAGUCUGAAGCAGUGAGCAAAGAGAAUGAAGAUGAGGCAAGUGGGUGAGAAGAGGGCCUGAGGUUUAGACCAGAUACAGGAGCAGGAAGAGAUAAGCAAGGGGCCCAUGUGAGGACCCCAGCAGCCCUGCAGUGUCUCUACUGACUCCUGGUGAGCACUGGGCUAGGAGGGCAGGCCCUAGUGGGAAGUCCUAUCACCACAUUUCACUUCUCGGCAUAAAAUAAAGGAGGGGCCACUUAGGAAGUCUCCUCCUUCUGAGCAGUUUUAUCUCCUGCCUAAAGGAAUCAGUGCUGACCACUGCAUACUUCUAACAGUGAGUCAUUUAAGACUAACUCUAAAUCUUUGGUGGUAACCAUGCUUACUCCCACCUACAUUCCCUGACUGGAAUGUCUUUCCGUGACACCCUUUCAUCUCCCUGUUGAAAUCUUGAGCUACCUUUAAGACUUAACUCAAAACCUACCACUCCAUAAAAUUUGUAGGCAUAUCCCUCCUCUCUAAUCUCCUAUUUCAUUUAGAGAAAAUGAGGAGGGCACUGAUAUGCUAAGAUCACCUACUUUAUACAAACAAUUGUGUUGCGUGGCUACCAUUCUGUUCCCGUUGACUCUCACUGCCUUAUAACAAACUAUCCUCAAAACACAGUGAUUUGAAACAAUAGCCAUUUUAUUAUGCUCAUAAAUUCUGUGCAUCAGGGAUUUAGAAAGCACUGUGGGGACAGUUCUCUUUCCAUGUCAUUUGGGGCCUUGGCUGAGGUAAACUUCAUGGCUGAGAGUGACUCAGUAACCAAGAGCUGGAAUAGCUGGAGGACCCACAUCCCAGAUGGCUUCUUCUACAUCACAACUCCUAUAUCUGUUGACGAGCUGGGAUGGCUGGGGAACGGCUCAACUAGGACUCAACCCAGAAGGCCUACAUGUGGCCAUUCCGCAGGGCAGCCUCAAGGCAGUGAGACUUUUUAUAUGGUGGGUCAAUGUUCCAAGAAUAGGAACUCUGUUUGGCCAUUUAUGACCUAUCUUUGAAGGUAACAUAAUAUCAUUUCUGCUGUACUCUUUUCUGCUAUAUUCUUUUGGUCCAAGCAAACACAAUCUGCCUAAAUUCAAAGGAAGGGUAUAUACCCCAACUCUCAAUGGAAGGAGGUACCAAAAAUCUGUGGUCAUGAUUUAAACCUACCACAGAUAGAAUACUGACACAUUUAAUUUUCAUGAAAAUGUUUAGAGAAUAUUAGUAUUUAUCCCUCAUGAAUGAAGAAACCAAGGUUCAGAGAAGUUAUACAAGUUGAUUAUUGGGUCUCAUGCCUAGAAAAAGGAGUCUAAGUUUGUCUGAUUUCAGUGCAACCAAUCUUUUCAUUUAGACUUUCUGCUGCCCUUAAGUAAGUCAUCAUCACACUGACAUUUCUCUAAUCCUAAACUUUUUUAAGAGCACAGAUGGUAUCAUUCCUUAUUAUACACACCUGUCCUAAAUACCUAAGUUAAUAGUGGGACUUCCCAUUUAAUAUUAGCCAACUGAUUUCCAACUCUUUCUCCUGCCAAAAUUUUAUAUCUUUCAUCUUGCUUUCACUCCUUAUACUAACACACUUGAUUAAUACCAAGGCAACUCCCUCUCCAAAGAAAGUAUGUCAGAAAGACAUGUUCUGUUCACAAAAGCAAAAUCUUUUUUCCUGGUAGAGAAAAAAAAAUCAAAAAGUACCAUUCAUUAAUUCAGCGAAUAUUUAUAGAGCAUCUACAAUGUGCUGGACACUGUUCUGGGCAGUGGAAAUAAGUGAUUGACUAAAGUCUCUGCCCUCAUGGACUCACACUCUAGGGGCUGAGUUGGAUAAAUCAAUAGCUAAAAAUAUCUAUUUUAUUUAUCCAGGAAAUGAUAAGUACAUGAAAAAAAAAUAAUGCAGGGAAAGGGUGUAGAAAGUAGCAGGGCACUGUUUUUAGAUAGAGUGUUAGAAAAUAUAAUUUGAAAAGGUGACAAAGGAAAUGAGGUUAGAAAUUCAGCCAAGGGCCUGAUGUGUAGAACUUCAUAGGCCACAAUAAAUUCUGAAUUGUAUCCUGAGUGUGAUGGGUAGGCAUAUAAGAGUUUUAAAACAAUGGGAUGUGACACGAUCUGAUUUACAUUUUUUAAAGUUGACUUGUGAUACUCUGAAAAUAACUGAUUAUAGAAGGACAUGGACUAUUAAAGAGAGUCACAAAUUUUUUGACACUCCUCUCAUUGAAGGAUGGGGUCUUUUUUUUUCCUCCCCUUGAAUCUGGGAUGACUCUGAUUGUUUUGACCGAUAGAAUAUAAAGAAAGCAAUACUUUGCCAGUUUUUCAGACCCAGGCAUUCAGAAACUGGCAGCUUCCACUUCCAGUGUCUUGGAACACUUACUCACAUGUAACUCAGCCCCUGUGUCAUGGCAAAGUCCAGGUAUCCUCAAGGAAAGGCCCUUACGGAGAGGAACAGAGGCCCCAGAUGACAACCCUGGCUGAAGCCAAGCACCCGCAGCAACUUGCCAGCCAAAUGAGUGAGUCAUCUUGAAGUGAACCCUCUGGCCUCAGUCAAGCUUCUGCAAGUGACAGUGCAAGGAGUACAAGUGACAAUGCAAGGAGUAGAGAGACAAGUCAUCCUGCUGAGAAAUUCUGAAUUCCUGACCCACACAAUUAUGAGCAAACAUUUUGGCAUAGCUUUUUAUGCAACAAUCAAUAAUAACUAGAAUAAAGGAUGAAAGAGGAAGCAGGGGACCAAUGAGCAAUCUACUUCAGUAAGCUAGGUGAAGGAGAAUGGGUUCCCGUCAUGGCGCCGUGGUUAACAAAUCCAACUAGGAACCAUGAGGUUGUGGGUUCAAUCCCUGCCCUUGCUCAGUGGGUUAAUGAUCCGGCAUUGCCGUGAGCUCUGGUGUAGGUCACAGA
rnacentral:lncRNA from 1 species